rnacentral:lncRNA from 1 species
AUCGCAAACUAUUAAAAAUACUGGAUGUCUUUUUUGGGAAAACAUUUAGGACUAUAGAUCGUAUAUCACAAUACAUGAUGUAGGAAACUUAUAAAUUCAACAUAUGAAACUACACAUUUGCUUGACACAUAGUUGACUAUUUAUUACAACGAAAUGAUAUUUACACAUAGCAGUCAUCAGGAAAAACAGAACAAAGUGAUGCACAAUACAUGUUAAAUCAUGUGUCCUGAAAUAAAAUAUCAUUCUGCUGGAAUGUUUUGGUUGUUCUUGCACUAUAGUUGAUGGUUUUGCAUCCAUGCCUGUGAUUAUAAUUCUGUUGAAAGUUUUAGAGGAAAGAGAGUUGUAGUUGUGGGAUGUAGAAUUUCAGGCACGGAAGUGUCUCUUGAUCUUUGCAACCAUGAUGCAAAACCUUCAAUGGUUGUUUGGAGCUUGGUGAGUAAUUCACACAACACAUAACAGGCACUUUCAUUCAUCUAUUUUCUUUCAAGAAAAUUGAGUUCCAGUAUUUAGAUUCUAAUGUGGUUUAUGGGUUUUCUUUUUUCAGGUUCAUGUAUUGCCAAUGGUUCUUAAUUAUUAUUUUUUUGCUUUUCUUCUUGAUUAUAAUUGGUACAAAUGUCUGAAAUGUGGUAUCUAUCUUUAUUUAUUUAUUUUUUUUUUUUUUAGGUUAGGACCGAUAUUUAAGGCACAGCUCAUGUCGAAAAUUGUUGAGAAUAAAAUCAAGGAGGCCGAUAGGAUGGUUUCACUUACUACUUAGUUAAUUUUUUUAUUUUUAUUUUUUUUGGAAAAUGUAUUGGAUUUUUUCCCUACUAUAUAAAAAGGGAAAUGUGAGGACACUGUAGAAAGCAACAGUGUCUUUGAUCCAUAUUUACUGUAACAUUUUUGUUUUGUUUUUUCAAUUGGGGGGCCAAAAAUGAUGCCAUUUUCUUGAUAUAUA